AAGACGAAGAAGAAGAAGAAGAAGCCAUUGUCGAUGAAUGAUGAAUCAAUCAAAUCAGAAAGAGUGGCUCUUUUCCUCAGCUCAUAAAAGAAACAGAAAUGAUUGAUACAGUUCGAAAUCGAGUUUCCAUAAAAAGCAUCCCAUGAAUCUCCUCAAAGCCAUCACUUUCUAUUAUUAAGUCACUUUCCAGAUCUGCCCCAUUAUGCUAAAGCAUCUCGAUCGAAGCAAAAAAGGGAAAGGUAAAAAAUGAAGAAGAAGAAGAAGAAAGUGAGAGCUCUGCUCUACUCUGCUCUUUAAUGGCGGAAAGAAAUCUUCUGGUAGUGAGCACUAAGAAGAGAAGAAGAAGCAUUAAAAUUCCCCGGCAUUUUCUCUCUCUCUCACUUCACUUUCUGAGUAUCUUUUCUCGAAGUUCUUGGUCGAGGAAGAUGUCAUCACGUGAAGCCAUGCCUGGAAAACUUUUUUUUUGUUCUCACUGUGACAUCUUCAAUGCAUUCAUGAAUAAUAGUAGUAUUAUAAAAAAAAUUAAUAAUGGGUUUAUGAAGGAGAGACGAAGGAGAAAGAGAAAAAUAAUUCACGUAUAUUUUUGUCGUUAUUGUUAUGGUUGCUAUUACUUUGCCAAGAUUCAGAGACAGAUAGGUUUUGGGGCCAAGGUAGUUACUGCUGCUGAGAAAAUUUAUAUAGAGAUUUUAUGGUGAAGUGUGGUAUGGAGCAGAAGAAAUAUGGUGGGAAUAAUUAAUUUUAGGGAUGAUUUAUUUAAAGUAAGGAG